AGUCGAACGGCAGCGCGGGGCAACCUGGCGGCGAGUGGCGAACGGGUGAGUAAUAUAUCGGAACGUACCCUGGAGUGGGGGAUAACGUAGCGAAAGUUACGCUAAUACCGCAUACGAUCUAAGGAUGAAAGUGGGGGAUCGCAAGACCUCAUGCUCCUGGAGCGGCCGAUAUCUGAUUAGCUAGUUGGUGGGGUAAAGGCUCACCAAGGCUUCGAUCAGUAGCUGGUCUGAGAGGACGACCAGCCACACUGGAACUGAGACACGGUCCAGACUCCUACGGGAGGCAGCAGUGGGGAAUUUUGGACAAUGGGCGCAAGCCUGAUCCAGCAAUGCCGCGUGAGUGAAGAAGGCCUUCGGGUUGUAAAGCUCUUUUGUCAGGGAAGAAACGGUGAAGGCUAAUAUCCUUUGCUAAUGACGGUACCUGAAGAAUAAGCACCGGCUAACUACGUGCCAGCAGCCGCGGUAAUACGUAGGGUGCAAGCGUUAAUCGGAAUUACUGGGCGUAAAGCGUGCGCAGGCGGUUUUGUAAGUUUGUCGUGAAAGCCCCGGGCUCAACCUGGGAAUUGCGAUGAAGACUGCAAGGCUUGAAUCUGGCAGAGAGGGGUAGAAUUCCACGUGUAGCAGUGAAAUGCGUAGAGAUGUGGAGGAACACCGAUGGCGAAGGCAGCCCCCUGGGUCAAGAUUGACGCUCAUGCACGAAAGCGUGGGGAGCAAACAGGAUUAGAUACCCUGGUAGUCCACGCCCUAAACGAUGUCUACUAGUUGUCGGGUUUUAAUUAACUUGGUAACGCAGCUAACGCGUGAAGUAGACCGCCUGGGGAGUACGGUCGCAAGAUUAAAACUCAAAGGAAUUGAC
rnacentral:rRNA from 1 species